rnacentral:rRNA from 1 species
AACCUGGUUGAUCCUGCCAGUAGUCAUAUGCUUGUCUCAAAGACUAAGCCAUGCAUGUCUAAGUAUAAAUGUUAUACAGUAAAACUGCGAAUGGCUCAUUAAAACAGUUAUAGUUUAUUUGGUACUCGAUUUACAUGGAUAACCGUGGUAAUUCUAGAGCUAAUACAUGCUUUAAAGCCCGACUUCUCGGAAGGGCCGUAUUUAUUAGAUAACAGACCAAUAUUCCUCGUGUCUAUUGUGGUGAGUCAUAGUAACUUUUCGGAUCGCAUGGGCUUUGUCCCGCGACAAACCAUUCAAAUUUCUGCCCCAUCAGCUUUCGAUGGUAGUGUAUUGGACUACCAUGGCUUUCACGGGUAACGGAGGAUUAGGGUUCGAUUCCGGAGAGGGAGCCUGAGAAACGGCUACCACUUCUAAGGAAGGCAGCAGGCGCGUAAAUUACCCAAUUCUAAUUCAGAGAGGUAGUGACAAGAAAUAACGGGUCGGGCCUUCGGGUCUGGGACUGCAAUGAGACGAAUUUACACCCCUUUUCGAGCAUCAAUUGGAGGGCAAGUCUGGUGCCAGCAGCCGCGGUAAUCCAGCUCCAAUAGCGUAUAUUAAAGUUGUUGCAGUAAAAAGCUCGUAGUGGAUUCUGGUGCAUGCCUGGACCUCUGAUGUA